UAAAUGGCCGCAGUAAUCUGACUGUGCAAAGGUAGCGUAAUCAUUUGUUUAAUAAUUUUAAACUAGAAUGAAAGGAACAAAGUAUACUAACUGUUAAUUAAAAUUUAACAUAAAUCUUUGGCUGAGUGCAAAAACUUAGAAUAAAAAUAUAAACGAGAAGACCCUGGGAAUUUUAAUAUUUUUAUUGGGAUAAUAUAAAACCAUACUUAGCUAAGCAACAAAUAACAUUAAUAAAAAGAAAUUACCCCAGGGAUAACAGCACAAUAGUCAUUAAGAGACCUAAUCUCAGUGAUUGAUUAUGACCUCGAUGUUGAAUCAUUUGUACAUAUAAUUUGCAGAAGAAUUUUAUUCUCGUCUGUUCGACGAUAGACAUUACGUGA
rnacentral:rRNA from 2 species